GAUCAUAUGAAGUGUGCGUAUGGUACCUAUUGGAGCUAUCUUGAGCCCAUAUAAAGAGUAAGCUUUAGAAUGAUGGUGACUCACAGAGAAAGGUAAGAAUCAUCAGAAAAUGAAAAUCGAUACAGCACUGUGUGCUAAUGGGCUGCCCACUCCUUCCUGAAACUACAAAAAAUAUGGAUGGAGACCACAUGAAAAUUGAAGGCAAGAGGAUGUAUGGUAUCUUCAAGAAUACCAAAGAAAUCGGUUUUGAUGUUCAACGUUUCAUGCAAGUUCUAAAAACUUGAUUCUGGUAGCAAAAUUAUAGCAGGAAGAGGAAGCAGGACACCAGAGGCUUUUCUUUUCAUGG
rnacentral:lncRNA from 1 species